ensembl:lncRNA
GAGAGGGGCGGAGCAGGUCGCAAGACCACGCCCCUGGACUCCUACGUCCUCUCCCCCGCCCAAGGCAACCAGGCAGACUGGGCAAGCCACUUUUCUCUUUUCCCUACUGCCCAGCAUCCCCCGCUCCUAGCCUCACUCUGCUGUCCUUCGCACAGAGGCUCCGCAAAGAUCCUCCCAGCUACCAAAAGCCUGCCUGUGAUUAGCCUGUGCUUUUAACUUGCACCUUCGUCCAGACUGAGACUGUUUUUCCAGGUUCAGACGAAUUCUCAGGGUAGCCGACCUUUCCGCUUCCGGAGAGCUGUUUCCUCCUCCGUGCUUCGGUUACUCUAAUGUUAACUCUUAACGUGGAAUUUAUCAGCUUGAGAUCGUACACUGAGACUCCUGCGUGCUGUUCAAGUUACCAUUCCAAUGAAAGAGUUCCAAAGAGGCGGAAGAUGAGAGAUACAACCUGUAGGGUUUGUUGUGGUUUUGAAGACAGAGACUCUACACGUUGCCCAUGCUGACCACAAACUUGAGAUCCUUCUGCCUUAGACAAUGCUCUUAAAGAAAUGUGUAGAUCAGCUCUUGCUUUGUGAUGUUGAAUUCUGUUAACUAUCAAGGUUAAGUAGACUACAACAACAAAUAUACAGUGUAUCAAUUGACUAUAAAUAUCAAACACUUUUAUGUAAUACAGUUACACAUUGUAACAGUUUAUGAAGCACCAUUAAAGACUUUUAUCAUACCAUUUAUUGCGUCGGAGACAUCAGGAUUAUAGUGUCAGGAAAUUAAACCAUAAACCUUAAGCAGAACAUUAAGUGGCUAACCUCUGUGACUAGACUGAAAACAAAUUCCAAUUAGUUUAAACAUUUUUAUUUUUAUCAAAACAUAAGUGUGUUCACUUGACAUGAAAACAUUUUAAUUGCCUAACACGUGACUUUUAUUGGUGUCUCAUUUUGGGUUUGUACACGGAAUAAAAUUUUUUCUCUUGAUUGGGGCUAUGUGAUGUAGGAAGACUCAGCCUAAAUGUGGGUUCCAGCCCAGUUGGGAGUGGGAGGGAAACCUUCCAAAGAUGGGCUUGUGGUUUCCCCACCAUCUUUUGUUACCAUCGGAACCCAGUUUCUUCAGCCUUCCCAUGUGGACUGAUGACCAGGAGCUCCCCAAGCUGCCUGUGCCAGCCUAAGACUGCUAAGGCGCCCAGCCUCACGCACUGAAUAGCUACUGGGUUUUCAGCAUUUUCAGAGGGAUACAGACCUUACUGUGAAAGGCAAGCUAAUAAAGCCGUUCUUAACUGUAAUUCACUCUGUUGGUUCUGUUCCUCUAGAGAGCAUUAAUACAGUAGGGGUGCAAGUGGAGCCCAGGGGU